UUACCAGCAGUCCGGGAGGUGCCUGUGCUCUAGUGCCAUUACAGGAAGACAAGGGAACUCCUGGGGGCAGGAGCCAGCGAGGAAGAAGGCCCAGAGACGUGCGAGGGGGAACUGCGUGGAGGAGGUCGGAGGUCGCCGGAGAGACAAUGGGGUUCAACUGGUCAAGACGGCAUCGCCCUUCUGUUUGUCCUUCACGCGCUCCCGCCUUGCACUGGGUCUGCUCUGGGUGACAGAGGACAGCAUUCUGGGGUGCAGAGUUUGACCAAAAAAAAAAUUUCAUGGCACUUAGUAAAAAUAAAAAGAGACCUGCAGUGAGGAAAUAUUAACCCAGGACACCUCAAGGUAAAAGCUCUUCUAGGGCGUUUGAAUUCGGGGAUGUUAUGAGAGAACACGUGGGCUCGAAGACGCGGAGGGGAGGGAAGGCAAACCGAAGCGGCCUCCUCAGUCAGAUCCUCUCGGGAAAACUGGGUUAGAGUCUCCUGUGACCAAAUGCUUGUAAUUUUCCCUUAAAAUCUGUUUUGCAAUUUUUUUCACUAGUGUAUCAAGAAAGCCUGGUCUGAAUCAACUAACACCACAUCAACGAAUAUCCCGGACCUGGGAGCCCCCAUGUAGCUGUCCAAAGCGUAGGCUGGGGGGUGAGGCAGACCCAAAUUCCGACUCCACCGCUUACCUGUGCUGUGAUCCUAGGUAAGGAAGUCCCCCAAGCAGUGGUUCCCCAUCUUCAAAGUGAGACUAACAUACCAGUGGUGGGCUGCUAUGUGUAUCAAUUAUAUGAAGAAUGUAAAAAGGUGAGCGCAGUGCCUGGCGCAUAAGAAAAAGAGAAGAAAACGUUAGCUCCUACUGCAUCAUUUGACCCCCGGCGCCCACACUCAUGGCCCAGCAGAGAUUUCUCUCUGGAGAAAGAGUUUCUCUGUUUUAGUUUCCCUCUGGAGAGAGAGGUGGGCAGGGAGUGUGCAUGGUGACGAUGACACAGAGACUGGACCAAGGUCAAGGCAACCUAGCAGGGG
rnacentral:lncRNA from 1 species